AGUGAACGCUGGCGGUAGGCCUAACACAUGCAAGUCGAACGGCAGCACAGUAAGAGCUUGCUCUUACGGGUGGCGAGUGGCGGACGGGUGAGGAAUACAUCGGAAUCUACUUUUUCGUGGGGGAUAACGUAGGGAAACUUACGCUAAUACCGCAUACGACCUACGGGUGAAAGCAGGGGAUCUUCGGACCUUGCGCGAUUGAAUGAGCCGAUGUCGGAUUAGCUAGUUGGCGGGGUAAAGGCCCACCAAGGCGACGAUCCGUAGCUGGUCUGAGAGGAUGAGCCGCCACACUGGAACUGAGACACGGUCCUGACUCCUACGGGAGGCAGCAGUGGGGCAUUUUCCGCAAUGGGCGCAAGCCUGAUGGAGCGACGCCGCGUGAGUGAUGAAGGACUUCGGGUCGUAAAACGCUGUUGUUAGGGAAGAAAAUCCGUAUAAGAAAACGUGCGGAUCGUGACGGUACCUUAGGAGAAAGCAACGGCUAACUACGUG
rnacentral:rRNA from 1 species